GCGUCGCUGCGGCGUGCGAAAGUGGCCUGGUGGUACCCUUGAGCCUUAAUUCUUCACCACGGGACCGAGCACUUCCGUUUCGUUGCGCAUGUCCGUCUUCGAGCGGAAAGCCUUAAGAUUCGGAGGCUUCUCCCACCUGAACCGUUGGUUCAAGGUCGAUGGUCACUCCGGCGCCCGCGGGGCGCG
rnacentral:other from 1 species